rnacentral:rRNA from 6 species
UAACCUGCGGAGGGAUCAUUA